AUGAGCGAGCAGAGGAUCUCCACCACCGUCCCGCUGCUCUCCUCUUUCCUCAACAACUUCAAGAAGAGAUGGCCCAGCAGCUUGCCCAGCGCCGGGAUCUCUCCGCCGGCAGCGCCGCUCUCCUCCUCCCCACCCGUCUGCAGGAAAACGGAGGUGCCCUUCCAGGACCUGCAUCUGCUCCCGGGGCCGCAGGAAGAAGGCGCUGUCGAAGCAGGUCCUGAGUGCCGCCCGACCUUCCAGAACAUUCCCCAGGGAGCUGUGGGUCAGAACCAGGACCUUGGGUCAGAACCUUCCCGGCCUUCCAGAACCUUCCCGGCCUUCCAGAACAUUCCCAGCCUUCCAGAACCUUCCCGGCCUUCCAGAACAUUCCCGGCCUUCCAGAACCUUCCCCAGGGAACUGAGGAGAGACAGCGGCACCGCGGGUCAGAACCUGCCCGGCCUUCCAGAACCUUCCCGGCCUUCCAGAACAUUCCCCAGGGAGCUGAGGAGAGACAGCGGCACCGCGGGUCAGAACCUGCCCGGCCUUCCAGAACAUUCCUGGCCUUCCAGAACCUUCCCGGCCUUCCAGAACCUUCCCGGCCUUCCAGAAUCUUCCUGGCCUUCCAGAACCUUCCCCAGGGACCUUCAGGUCAGAACCAGGACCUUGGGUCAGAACCUUCCCAGCCUUCCAGAACCUUCCCGGCCUUCCAGAACAUUCCCCAGGGAGCUGAGGAGAGACAGCGGCACCGCGGGUCAGAACCUCAGAACCUUCCCAGCCUUCCAGAACCUUCCCGGCCUUCCAGAACCUUCCCCAGGGAACUGAGGGGAGACAGCAGAACCUUCGGGUCAGGUCAGAACCUUCCCGGCCUUCCAGAACCUUCCCGGCCUUCCAGAACCUUCCCAGCCUUCCAGAACCUUCCCAGCCUUCCAGAACCUUCCCGGCCUUCCAGAACAUUCCCCAGGGAGCUGAGGAGAGACACCAGAACCUUUGGGUCAGAACCUGCCCGGCCUUCCAGAACAUUCCCCAGGGAACUGUGAGUCAGAACCAGGACCUUGGGUCAGAACCUUCCCGGCCUUCCAGAACCUUCCCGGCCUUCCAGAACAUUCCCCAGGGAACUGAGGAGAGACAGCGGGACUGCGGGUCAGAACCUCAGAACCUUCCCAGCCUUCCAGAACCUUCCCAUGGGAACUGAGGGGAGACAGCAGAACCUUCGGGUCAGGUCAGAACCUUCCCGGCCUUCCAGAACCUUCCCGGCCUUCCAGAACCUUCCCCAGGGCACUGACGAGAGACACCAGGACUUUGGGUCGGAACCGGAACCUUUGGGUCAGAACCAGAACCAGAACCGGUUUUGGGUCGGUACCAGAACAUUUUGGGUUGGAACCGGAACCAGAACCUGUUUUGAGUCGUGACCAGAACCAGAACCUGGUUUGGGUUAGAACCGGAACCAUUUUUGGGUCAGAACUGGAACCAGAACCUGUUUUGGAUCAGAACUGGUUUUGGGUCAGAACCAUUUCGGGUCGGAACCAGAACCAUUUUUGGAUCAGAACCAGUUUCAGGUCAGCACCGUUUCGGGUCAGAACCGGUUUUGGGUCAGAACCAGAACCUUUUGGGUUAGAACCAGAACCUUUUGGGUUAGAACCAUUUCCAGAACCAUUUUUGGAUCAGAACCAGAACCGGUUUCGGGUCAGAACCAGAACCAUUUUUGAGUCAGAACCGUUUUUGGAUCAGACCCAGAACCAUUUCGGGUCAGAACCAGAACCGCUUUUGGAUCAGAACCAUUUUGGAUCAGAACCAGAACCGUUUCGGGUCAGAACCAGCACCGUUUCGGAAGGUUCGGAACCGGAACCGUUUCGGAUCAGACCCAGAACCAUUUUGGAUCAGAACCAUUUUGGAUCAGAACCAGCACCGUUUCGGGUGGGAACCGUUUUGGGUCAGACCCAGAACCGUUUUUGGGUCAGAACCGGAACUGUUUCGGGUUGGAACCAGAACCUUUUGGGUCAGAACCAUUUUCGGGUCAGAACCAGAACCGUUUUUGGA
rnacentral:lncRNA from 1 species